UGGGGAAUCUUCCGCAAUGGACGAAAGUCUGACGGAGCAACGCCGCGUGAGUGAAGACGGCCUUCGGGUUGUAAAGCUCUGUGAUUCGGGACGAAAGGCCAUAUGUGAAUAAUAUAUGGAAAUGACGGUACCGAAAAAGCAAGCCACGGCUAACUACGUGCCAUCAGCCGCGGUAAUACGUAGGUGGCAAGCGUUGUCCGGAAUUAUUGGGCGUAAAGCGCGCGCAGGCGGUCACUUAAGUCCAUCUUAGAAGUGCGGGGCUUAACCCCGUGAUGGGAUGGAAACUGGGAGACUGGAGUAUCGGAGAGGAAAGUGGAAUUCCUAGUGUAGCGGUGAAAUGCGUAGAUAUUAGGAAGAACACCGGUGGCGAAGGCGACUUUCUGGACGAAAACUGACGCUGAGGCGCGAAAGCGUGGGGAGCAAACAGG
rnacentral:rRNA from 1 species